CCCAUUAAGAAGAGCUUGGCGGGCCGCGGUCACUGCAGGCCCCCGGGAAAGCGGACCGGCCAUCGACCCAGCGGGGACCACCGAUCUUCGGCGGAGGGAGCAGCGCCGGGGUGCACGCUUGGCACCAUGGCCCAGACGCCAGCUUUCGACAAGCCCAAAGUAGAACUGCACGUCCAUCUGGAUGGAGCCAUCAAGCCUGAAACCAUCUUAUAUUAUGGCAGGAAGCGGGGCAUCGCCCUCCCUGCCAACACACCAGAGGAGCUGCAGGACAUCAUCGGCAUGGACAAGCCACUCAGCCUCCCGGGCUUCCUGGCCAAGUUCGACUACUACAUGCCCGCCAUCGCGGGCUGCCGGGAGGCCAUCAAAAGGACUGCCUACGAGUUUGUGAAGACGAAGGCCAAGGAGGGCGUGGUGUACGUGGAGGUGCGCUACAGCCCGCACCUGCUGGCCAACUCCAAAGUGGAGCCGAUCCCCUGGAACCAGGCUGAAGGGGACCUCACCCCGGAUGAGGUGGUGCACCUAGUGGGCCAGGGCCUGCAAGACGGAGAGCGAGACUUCGGGGUGAAGGUGCGGUCCAUCCUGUGCUGCAUGCGCCACCAGCCCAGCUGGUCCCCCGAGGUGGUGGAGCUGUGUAAGAAGUACCGGCAGCAGACCGUGGUGGCCAUCGACCUGGCCGGAGAUGAGACCAUCCAAGGCAGCAGCCUCUUCCCUGAACACGUGAAGGCCUAUGCGGAGGCCAUGAAGAGCGGCAUCCACCGCACGGUCCACGCCGGGGAGGUGGGCUCGGCCCAGGUGGUGAGAGAGGUGAGUGGCCGGGCUGGCGGCGGGGGCCCUUCUCCCCGCUCGCCCCGCGGCCUGCGCUGGGCUCCACCCUGCUUGUCAACAGGCCGUGGACACGCUCAAGACCGAGAGGCUGGGGCACGGCUACCACACCCUGGAGGACCCGGUCCUUUACAACAGGCUGCGGCAGGAAAACAUGCACUUCGAGGUUCAAAAAAGACCAGGCUAACUACUCCCUCAACACGGAUGACCCACUCAUCUUCAAGUCCACCCUGGACACUGAUUACCAGAUGACCAAACAGGACAUGGGCUUCACUGAAGAGGAGUUUAAAAGACUGGUGAGUGGCUGUGUGCCUUGACUCUGGGCCCUGGGAGUGUGUGAGGCCUGCAGGUCCUGUCCAGGGCCCGGAAGCCCCGGAGAAUGAGGGGUGAGUCUGCUGCAACAGGCCAGGCCAAGGCAGACCUGGAGUUCGAUGCCUUCCACAGAGAAGACAUCUUCGGCUGAGAUCCUGACCUAGGACUGGGUUUUUUAUCCUCUGCUUCCAUCAAGUGCCUUGAAAGACUCUGAAAGCUGUCAACCAUCUCCCCAGAAAGGUGUGCUCGGCUAUACAUUCUGCACACACUUUUCAGGCCACUCACAGACCCCAGGAUGAGCCCGUGAUUUCAGUGGUUCUGAUGUCCCAAGUCUGUCCCUGCAGGACUGUCUCUCUGGCGCCACACAUCCCACCCUGUCUCUCAAAGGUUUCUCCAACCUCCUUCCCACAUCUGUGUAUCACGUCCUGCCACUUUAAGAACGCAGAAGCUCAUAGUCUCUGCUCUGGCACUUGCUGCCGCGUGACCUUGGACAAGUCCUCCCCACUCUGAGCUGAACGAAUUGCCCAUGUUUGAUGAAGAGGACGGACUGUCACUAGAUUGCUAAGGACUCCCUUCUAUGCUCUCUGGCUUCACGCUGUCUGCCGUGCUGGCCCUUCCAGAACAUCAAUGCGGCGAAGUCCAGUUUCCUCCCAGAAGAUGAGAAGAGGGAGCUUCUUGAUCUGCUCUAUAAAGCCUAUGGGAUGCCACCUUUGGCCUCUGCAGGGCAGCGUCCCUGAAGACAUCGUGGCCACCUCUCAGAGUCCUCAC